rnacentral:lncRNA from 1 species
AUUCUGAGUGCGUCCUGGCGAGUCUCAGCCCCCAAGCGGGUGGAACGCACCAAGGGUCUCAUCCGCGAGGAAGGGCUUUAACGCUCAGGGUCAGGAACCUCUGAGAGCUCUUGGGGACUUGCGCGCCCUUGGAUGCUCUUGCGUUCAACAGGGCUAGGAGACUACCGGCUGGGGCGAGGAAUGCAGGCGCCUAGAGCCUUGGAGCUCCUGAAACGUUCCUGCCGCCUCCGGAAAGCAAGGGCAGUUUACCGAAGUGACUGAGGCCAAGUAUUUGCAGCACGGGCAGGGACCAGUAACUGAUUUUCAGGCCUUUUGAGAGGAAGAGGAAGAGAGAGGAAGAGAAGGAUUUCUAAUAGUAGAUAUUCACUCUCAUGGACUCUUUAGGAAACAGCAACAAAGACAAGAUUAAGAACACCAAAUUGUGUGACUAUCCACACAAAAAAGCAUCUUCAUAAGAACCAAAAAUCAGAAGGAAUGAAAUAGAAAGAAUAAAGCUGAAGGACAUUUCAUUUAUGUUCAACUAGAAAUCCAAUAUAGUUUUAGGCAAACUAUAUUUUCCCUUGCAACUGUACUCCCUUACAUACAUGUAAGUGGGAAAGAAUAAAUGUGACAAACAAAAUAUCACUCCUGAUUCCACAAUCUAAACAAAACACUGCCUCUUUCUAGGUUUUGUUUUUUGGUUUUUGUUUGUUUGUUUUUUGGCAUAGGGUUGGGGUGUAUGCUUCUUGACGUACCUACAUAAUGAGGAAUACAAGGCUUUGUAUCUUUUAUCAGUAAUUAUUCAUAGCUUAAUUGUGUAAAUUGUAAAAUAUCACACUUUUAUAAUCUUA